GACGAACGCUGGCGGCGUGCUUAACACAUGCAAGUCGAACGCUGAAGCUUGGUGCUUGCACUGGGUGGAUGAGUGGCGAACGGGUGAGUAAUACGUGAGUAACCUGCCCUUGACUCUGGGAUAAGCCUGGGAAACUGGGUCUAAUACUGGAUACGACAUGCCACUGCAUGGUGGUGUGUGGAAAGGGUUUUACUGGUUUUGGAUGGGCUCAUGGCCUAUCAGCUUGUUGGUGGGGUAAUGGCCUACCAAGGCGACGACGGGUAGCCGGCCUGAGAGGGUGACCGGCCACACUGGGACUGAGACACGGCCCAGACUCCUACGGGAGGCAGCAGUGGGGAAUAUUGCACAAUGGGCGGAAGCCUGAUGCAGCGACGCCGCGUGAGGGAUGACGGCCUUCGGGUUGUAAACCUCUUUCAGCACGGAAGAAGCGAGAGUGACGGUACGUGCAGAAGAAGCGCCGGCUAACUACGUG
rnacentral:rRNA from 1 species